rnacentral:rRNA from 1 species
GACGAACCACACAAACGUUAUUCGGAAUUACUGGGCUUAAAGGGUGCGUAGGCUGCGCAGCAAGUUGGGUGUGAAAUCCCUCGGCUCAACCGAGGAACUGCGUCCAAAACUACUGUGCUCGAGGGAGACAGAGGUGAGCGGAACUUAGGGUGGAGCGGUGAAAUGCGUUGAUAUCCUAAGGAACACCCGUGGCGAAAGCGGCUCACUGGGUCUCUUCUGACGCUGAGGAGCGAAAGCUAGGGGAGCAAACGGG